rnacentral:rRNA from 1 species
GACGAAGGUGGCGAGCGUUGUUCGGAAUCACUGGGCCUAAAGCGCACGUAGGCGGCGGCGUAAGUUGGAUGUGAAAUCCCUCGGCCUAACCGGGGAACUGCGUCUGAUACUGGAUGGCUUGAGUUUGGGAGAGGGACGCGGAAUUCCAGGUGUAGCGGUGAAAUGCGUAGAUAUCUGGAGGAACACCGGUGGCGAAGGCAGGUCUCUGGGCCACUACUGACGCUGAGAAGCGAAAGCAUGGGGAGCGAACAGG